UGGGAACCUUCCCUAUGGUUCGGAAUAGCUCAGGGAAACUUGAGGUAAUACCGGAUAAGCCCUUACGGGGAAAGAUUUAUCGCCAUUGGAUGGGCCCGCGUCGGAUUAGCUAGUUGGUGAGGUAACGGCUCACCAAGGCGACGAUCCGUAGCUGGUCUGAGAGGAUGAUCAGCCACACUGGGACUGAGACACGGCCCAGACUCCUACGGGAGGCAG
rnacentral:rRNA from 1 species